rnacentral:ncRNA from 1 species
AUAUAUGCGCUGAAGAGGAAACAGUAGUGCUUAUCUCACUGUUAAAGAGAGCUGAUGGUAGGUGUGAAUCAGUACAAAGAUAAGCAUGAAUUACAGCCUUGGAGCAUCUUUUCCGCCAACUUUUGGAGGGAAAGACGGUCAAAUGAUCGUUAAAGAAGAAGAGAGGUAGACAGGUAUUUAGUCUACAACUAGGGUGGUACCGCGAUAAAUAUCGUCCCUACU